rnacentral:rRNA from 1 species
CUUACCACUGUUUGCUUCGGCGGCCUCGCCCCGGGCGCGUUCGCGCGGCCCGGACCCAGGCGUCCGCCGGAGGCUCCAAACUCUUGUCUUUUAGUGUAUUUCUGAGUGGCAUAAGCAAAUAAAUCAAAACUUUCAGCAACGGAUCUCUUGGUUCUGGCAUCGAUGAAGAACGCAGCAAAAUGCGAUAAGUAAUGUGAAUUGCAGAAUUCAGUGAAUCAUCGAAUCUUUGAACGCACAUUGCGCCCGCCAGUAUUCUGGCGGGCAUGCCUGUCUGAGCGUCAUUUCAACCCUCAGGGCCCGUUCGCGGGACCUGGCGUUGGGGAUCAGCCUGCCCCUGGCGGCGGCUGGCCCUGAAAUCCAGUGGCGGUUCCCUCGCGAACUCCUCCGUGCAGUAAUUAAACCUCUCGCGGCAGGAUAGCGGUUGAACCACGCCGUUAAACCCCCCACUUCUCAAGGUUGACCUCAGAUCAGGUAGGAAUACCCGCUGAACUUAAGCAUAUC